GAAAAGAAAAUAACUAUGAUACCCGCAGUAAUGGCGAAUGAAGUGGGUAAAGCUCAAGCUUAAAAUCUAGUCUCUUUUGAGAUUCGAAUUGUAGUGUAAAUUAACAUUAAUAUGGUCAUGAUAAUUGCCUAAGUGUGAACAUCUGAAUUUCCUAUCAAAGACGGUGAUAAUCCGGUAUGGUAGUUUGAUUGGCUAAAUAUUCUUGUUAUUUAAAGAGUCGAGUUGUUUGGGAUUGCAACUCUAAUAAAGGUGAUAGAUUUCAUCUAAAGCUAAAUAUAUUAGGAAAACCGAUAGCAAAGAAGUACUGUGAAGGAAAGGUGAAAAGAACUUUGAAAAGAGAGUUAAAAGUGCUUGAAAUUGUUAAAAGGGAAGCGAAUGAAAAGAAUUACUGCGAUUAAGGUCCUCAGUAUUUCUGAAGGGGAAGUUUAAUAGAAAGGCUUAGUCGACUUGACCUGUCUGAUUUGAAACCUUGGACGAUUUAUUAUAGAUCUUGCAGAUUAAUGU
rnacentral:rRNA from 1 species